UGCGGAGGGUGCAAGCGUUAUCCGGAUUCACUGGGUUUAAAGGGUGCGUAGGUGGGCUGGUAAGUCCGUGGUGAAAUCUCCAAGCUUAACUUGGAAACUGCCGUGGAUACUAUUAGUCUUGAAUCUCGUGGAGGUAAGCGGAAUAUGUCAUGUAGCGGUGAAAUGCUUAGAUAUGACAUAGAACACCGAUAGCGAAGGCAGCUUGCUACACGAGUAUUGACACUGAGGCACGAAAGCGUGGGGAUCAAACAGG
rnacentral:rRNA from 1 species